AAUCCGGUUGAUCCCGCCGGAGGUGACUGCUAUCCGAAUCCGGUUUAGCUAUGCAAGUCUGGGGUUAAACCCAGGCAUACUGCUCAGUAACGCGUAGUCAAUCUGCCCUUGGGCUUGUUCUAAUCCCGGGAAACAAGACCGUUCACUUGGACAAUUGGAUUAAGUGAACCUUCUUUCUACUGGGGCCGAGGAACAAAUAGGCAAAACUUGCUGGAAUGCUGUUUUGCUGAACUAAGGAUGAGACUGCGACCUAUCAGAUUGUUGCUAGGGUAAUGUCCUGGCAAGUCUAUAACGGGUACGGGCCUUGAGAGAGGGAGCCCGGAGUUGGAUUCUGAGACAAGAAUCCAGGUCCUACGGGACGCAGCAAGCGCGAAACUUCCACAAUGCACGCAAGUGUGAUGGAGGGAUUCGGAGUGCUUUCUCUUUUUGAGGAAGCUUUUGUGCACUCUAAAUCAGUAUACGAAUAAGGGGUGGGUAAGACGGGUGCCAGCCGCCAUGUUAAUGGUAACUUUAUUUUUAGCCAUUGACACGGUAAGCGGUAAUACCCGCGCCCCGAGUGGUCACCACGUUUAUUGGGUUUAAAGCAUUCGUAGCCGGUUCAAUAAGUUCCUAAUGAAACCGGAGGUAGGGCCUACGGGCUAUGCUUCUAGCAUGAAAUCCCUUAGCUAACUAAGGGGCUUGUUGGGAAUACUAUUGGACUAGGGACCGGGAGAGGUGUAGGGUAUUCCGGGGGUAGUGGUAAAACGCACUGCUUGCGCAGGCGCAGCAAGUGGGCUUGCAAUACUUUAAUCCCCGGAGGACCACCUGUGGCGAAGGCGCUACACUAGAACGGAUCCGACGGUCAGGGAUGAAAGCUAGGGGAGCAAAGCGGAUUAGAUACCCGCGUAGUCCUAGCUGUAAACGAUGCCCGCUAGACAUUGGCACUCUUACGGGGGGUGCCAGAGUCGUAGGGAAACCGUUAAGCGGGCCGCCUGGGAAGUACGGUCAUGAAUCUAGGAAUAUUAGACCUCGAGUCAAUAAUGACUAUGAACUUUUCAGAGAUUGACUCAAAAGCAUAUAUUGCAGGAGUGAUUGGUGGGGAUGGUCACCUUAAUAAAAACUUUAUACAGAUAGAUGGUGACUCCCCUCAAUGGUUACAAACAAUUAAUACACUGUUCACUACCUGCUUCAACAAACAGGGAAGAGUAUAUCACAAGAAGGGAAGUCGUGGAUACCGAUUAUACAUAUCAUCACGAUCCCCUGUCCAUUAUUUUCAUGAAAAAUGGAAUAUACCCUUCGGUAAGAAAAGCAAAAUUAUUGAGCCACCCAGGUCGUUAACCCAAGAACGCGAAUUAAAGUCAUUCCUUAUAGGAUGGUUUGACGCUGAAGCACAUGUCGAACAUUGGAAACAUCCAAGGACAAAACGGAUAUAUCUGAGAAUCCAAUUCAAAACGAAAAGCGAAUCAAUACGAAAUUUUCUUUUGACGAUUCUCCAAGAUAGCGGUGUCAAUGCAAGUGUCUAUAAGGACAAUGAAGGAAGUUUCAGACUUCAAAUAGGUUCAAGAAAUGAUAUUACCGAAUACAAGCAAAAUUUCAUUUUUUUGCAUCCAAAAAAAUCAGAACUAUUGAAUUCCUAGAUUCACCGGAAGCAAGGCUGAAACUUAAGGGAAUUGGCGGGGGAGUACACAAGGGGUGGAGGCUGCGGUUUAAUUCGAUUCAACGCGAGGAACCUUACCAGCGGCGACAGCAGAAUGAAGGUCAGGCUGAAGGUCUUACCAAACAAGCUGAGAGGAGCUGCAUGGCCGUCGUCAGUUCGUGUCGUGAGAAUAUUGUUUUCACGUCAUGAGAACCGUGUUCCGAUACAGGUGUCCUGUUAAGUCAGGUAAACAGCUAGACGACUUUAUUUUAUAUGUCGUCUUUCUGGUCUAUCGAACGAGACCCAUAUCCUAUGUUGCAACCUGUCCCUCCGGGGGCGGGGCACUCAUAGGAGACCGCUGCUGAUAAAGCAGAGGAAGGAAUGGUCGACGGCAGGUCCGUAUGGUCUGAAUCCGCUGGGUUACACGCGGCCUACAAUGGCUGGGAUAAUAGGAUGCCACCCUGUAAGGGGGAGCCAAUCCUCAAACCCAGUCCAAAUCCGGAUCGAGGGCUGCAACCCGCUCUCGUGAAGCCGAAAUCCCUAGUAGUCGCUGGUCAUCAAGCACCCUUUUAGAAAAAGGCUGCACCCAAAAACUAAAAGAGUGCGUGAAAUCUAGCGGCGAAUAUGUUCCUACUCCUUGCACACACUGGGCUCAGAAAAACAGAAAAGCUUUA
rnacentral:rRNA from 1 species